GAUGAACGCUGGCGGCGUGCCUCAAACAUGCAAGUCGAGCGGGGCUAUGUAAUAUCGCAAGGUAGAACAUAGCCUAGCGGCGAACGGGUGAGUAACACGUGGGUAACCUGCCUGGAAGACAGGGAUAACGAUUCGAAAGGGUCGCUAAUACCUGAUAAUAUCCUUUCAUCGCAUGGUGAUAGGAAGAAAGGGGAAACCCGCUUUCAGAUGGGCCCGCGUCCCAUCAGCUAGUUGGUAAGGUAAAGGCUUACCAAGGCGACGACGGGUAGCCGGUCUGAGAGGAUGUACGGCCACACUGGGACUGAGAUACGGCCCAGACUCCUACGGGAGGCAGCAGUUGGGAAUCUUAGGCAAUGGACGAAAGUCUGACCUAGCGACGCCGCGUGAGGGAAGAAGGCCUUCGGGUUGUAAACCUCUGUCAUGGGGAAGAAGUAAGUGACGGUACCCCAAGAGGAAGCCCCUGCUAACUACGUGCCAGCAGCCGCGGUAAACGAGUAGUACA
rnacentral:rRNA from 1 species